rnacentral:rRNA from 1 species
GAUGAACGCUGGCGGCGUGCCUAAUACAUGCAAGUCGAGCGAACAGAUGAGGAGCUUGCUCCCCUGACGUUAGCGGCGGACGGGUGAGUAACACGUGGAUAACCUACCUAUAAGACUGGGAUAACUACGGGAAACUGGAGCUAAUACCGGAUAAUAUAUUGAACCGCAUGGUUCAAUAGUGAAAGACGGUUUUGAUGUCACUUAUAGAUGGAUCCGCGCCGCAUUAGCUAGUUGGUAAGGUAACGGCUUACCAAGGCAACGAUGCGUAGCCGACCUGAGAGGGUGAUCGGCCACACUGGAACUGAGACACGGCCCAGACUCCUACGGGAGGCAGCAGUAGGGAAUCUUCCGCAAUGGGCGAAAGCCUGACGGAGCAACGCCGCGUGAGUGAUGAAGGUCUUCGGGUCGUAAAACGCUUUUAUUAGGGAAGAACAAAUGUGUAAUUAACUAUGCGCGUCUUGACGGUACCUAAACAGAAAGCCACGGCUAACUACGUG